GACGAACGCUGGCGGCGUGCUUAACACAUGCAAGUCGAACGGAAAGGCCCUGCUUUUGUGGGGUGCUCGAGUGGCGAACGGGUGAGUAACACGUGAGUAACCUGCCCUUGACUUUGGGAUAACUUCAGGAAACUGGGGCUAAUACCGGAUAGGAGCUCCUGCUGCAUGGUGGGGGUUGGAAAGUUUCGGCGGUUGGGGAUGGACUCGCGGCUUAUCAGCUUGUUGGUGGGGUAGUGGCUUACCAAGGCUUUGACGGAUAGCCGGCCUGAGAGGGUGACCGGCCACAAUAGGACUGAGAGAGGGCGCAGACGCCAACGGGAGGCAACGGUGGAGAAUAUUACACAGUGGGCGGGAGCGUGAUGCGACGGCGCCGCGUGCGGGAUGACGGCCUUCGGGUUGUGAACCGCUUUCGCCUGUGACGAAGCGUGAGUGACGGUAAUGGGUAAAGAAGCACCGGCUAACUACGUG
rnacentral:rRNA from 1 species